rnacentral:rRNA from 1 species
GGAUCCAGACUUUGAUCCUGGCUCAGGAUGAACGCUAGCUACAGGCUUAACACAUGCAAGUCGAGGGGAAACGAUAGAGAAAGCUUGCUUUUUCUAGGCGUCGACCGGCGCACGGGUGAGUAACGCGUAUCCAACCUGCCCACCACUUGGGGAUAACCUUGCGAAAGUAAGACUAAUACCCAAUGAUAUCUCAAGAAGACAUCUGAAAGAGAUUAAAGAUUUAUCGGUGAUGGAUGGGGAUGCGUCUGAUUAGCUUGUUGGCGGGGUAACGGCCCACCAAGGCGACGAUCAGUAGGGGUUCUGAGAGGAAGGUCCCCCACAUUGGAACUGAGACACGGUCCAAACUCCUACGGGAGGCAGCAGUGUGGAAUAUUGGUCAAUGGGCGAGAGCCUGAACCAGCCAAGUAGCGUGCAGGAUGACGGCCCUAUGGGUUGUAAACUGCUUUUAUAAGGGAAUAAAGUGAGCCUCGUGAGGCUUUUUGCAUGUACCUUAUGAAUAAGGACCGGCUAAUUCCGUGCCAGCAGCCGCGGUAAUACGGAAGGUCCGGGCGUUAUCCGGAUUUAUUGGGUUUAAAGGGAGCGUAGGCCGGAGAUUAAGCGUGUUGUGAAAUGUAGAUGCUCAACAUCUGCACUGCAGCGCGAACUGGUUUCCUUGAGUACGCACAAAGUGGGCGGAAUUCGUGGUGUAGCGGUGAAAUGCUUAGAUAUCACGAAGAACUCCGACUGCGAAGGCAGCUCACUGGAGCGCAACUGACGCUGAAGCUCGAAAGUGCGGGUAUCGAACAGGAUUAGAUACCCUGGUAGUCCGCACGGUAAACGAUGGAUGCCCGCUGUUGGUCUGAAUAGGUCAGCGGCCAAGCGAAAGCAUUAAGCAUCCCACCUGGGGAGUACGCCGGCAACGGUGCAACUCAAAUGAAUUGACGG